rnacentral:rRNA from 1 species
GACGAGCCACACGAACGUUAUUCGGAAUUACUGGGCUUAAAGGGUGCGUAGGCGGUGCGGAAAGUUGGGUGUGAAAUCCCUCGGCUCAACCGAGGAACUGCGCUCAAAACUACCGUACUUGAGGAAGAUAGAGGUGAGCGGAACUCACGGUGGAGCGGUGAAAUGCGUUGAUAUCGUGAGGAACACCCGUGGCGAAAGCGGCUCACUGGGUCUUGUCUGACGCUGAUGCACGAAAGCUAGGGGAGCAAACGGG